UACGUAGGGUGCGAGCGUUGUCCGGAAUUACUGGGCGUAAAGAGCUCGUAGGUGGUUUGUCGCGUCGUCUGUGAAAUUCCGGGGCUUAACUCCGGGCGUGCAGGCGAUACGGGCAUAACUUGAGUACUGUAGGGGAGACUGGAAUUCCUGGUAUAGCGGUGAAAUGCGCAGAUAUCAGGAGGAACACCGGUGGCGAAGGCGGGUCUCUGGGCAGUAACUGACGCUGAGGAGCGAAAGCAUGGGGAGCGAACAGGAUUAGAUACCCUGGUAGUCAAGGGCGAAUUCGUU
rnacentral:rRNA from 1 species